UUCCCCGGGGCUGACCCAUGUGAGUAGGUACCAGAAAAGUUGUCCUCUGCCCUCUGAUUCCUUGGCUGAGAUAAAAGGGGGUUUGCACAGCUAGAUAUUGGUGCUACUGUUGCUUUUGGUUCCACGAUGACGUCUGUGUUUCUGGAGGGCUCCUCUGGGCUGCUUCUGGUGGUUAAUGCCCUCCUUGGCUGAGUGAGGUCUGGGGUCCAUCUAGCCCGGGCUCUGUCUCUGACAGUGGCAAAAAGAUAUUACCUGACUGCUUUCUGCGGUCUACUCCCCUGCACCCCCAAUUAUAGAAUCAUAGAAUAACUUAGGCUGGAAGGGACCUCUGAGGUCAUCCAGUCCAGCUCAAAGUAGGUCUGAUCAGAUGAGCUUGCUCAGGGACCUGACCAGCCCGGUCUUGAACACCUCCAAGGACUGGAGAUCCCAGAGCCUCUCUGGGUGACUUUUUUCCAGUGUUUGACCAUCCCUGUGGUAAUUUUUUUUUUCUUAUAGUUAACUGGAAUUUUCCAUGCUCCAACUUGCAACAUUAGAGGGCACAUCCUUGCUUAUUUCUUUUGUUCAUAAAUUUGUCUAAUCCUCCUUGACCCAGCUGACACUCUCUCCACAGCUUCCUAGGGCAAAAUCCUCCACAAAUGCACUACCAGCAGCGCAAGGAAGGUCUCGGCUUAAAGGCUAAUUCUAGGGUCUAAGCCAAGAAUGGCCUUCGGGUGGUGAUGGGGAGCUGGGCAACAGUUAACUCCCUCUUUAUACACUUUCACCCUCUGUUCACACUCAUUUUUCCAUCACAACCUAUUUUCCAGGUCUAUAAGUAUUUGAUUUGCCCGAAAAAGAUUGUAACGGUUAUUAUUUUCACCAGUGACUGAUUUGCAUGAAUUUGUUCAGCCAGCAGUACAAUAGCUCUUUCUGGCCAAGACUGAAUGAGGUAUGUGAAUUAUUUUGUUUAUAAGAAACAAAGCAACCUUCCUGUGCCAGGAUUAAGAAGACCUGCGUUCCUUUCCUGGCUCUACCCUGGCUUCCCGUGUGAUCUGGCCAAGUCAUUUCAUGUCUCUGUGCAUCUACCUCCCAUCUGGAAAACAGAAGCAGCACUUCAGAAGAAACAGUAGGGUUUACUUUCUUAGUAGCUGCAAAGCACUCUGAGAUGCCGAGCUGGAAGAACGGCAAUGUGUCAUUAUUAACAGAACAAUGCCAAUUCUGACAUUGCUAAUGCUAUAACAAUAUGAAUAUUCAAAAGCAGCAGCAUCUUUGUUAGAGAUUCUGAUUAAUCAGUGAUUAAUAUCACUGUCAUUUCCUGUAAGCUGAGAAUAAUCCGUGCCAUGUUCUUAUCUAAAGAAAAGGAAAAGAGAGACGAGGGGAAAGAUAGUGCCUUAACAUAGUGGUAGAUGCACUUCAAUCAUAUCUAUAAA
rnacentral:lncRNA from 1 species